GAUGAACGCUGGCUACAGGCUUAACACAUGCAAGUCGAGGGGAAACGACGGGGAAGCUUGCUUCCCCGGGCGUCGACCGGCGCACGGGUGAGUAACGCGUAUCCAACCUGCCUCUGACUGAGGGAUAACCCGUCGAAAGUCGGCCUAAUACCUCAUGGCAUCGUCUGCGGGCAUCCAACGACGAUUAAAGAUUUCAUCGGUCAGGGAUGGGGAUGCGUCUGAUUAGCUAGUUGGCGGGGUAACGGCCCACCAAGGCGACGAUCAGUAGGGGUUCUGAGAGGAAGGUCCCCCACAUUGGAACUGAGACACGGUCCAAACUCCUACGGGAGGCAGCAGUGAGGAAUAUUGGUCAAUGGGCGAGAGCCUGAACCAGCCAAGUAGCGUGCAGGAUGACGGCCCUAUGGGUUGUAAACUGCUUUUAGGCGGGGAUAAAGUGAGGGACGUGUCCUUCAUUGCAGGUACCGCAUGAAUAAGGACCGGCUAAGUCCGUG
rnacentral:rRNA from 1 species